rnacentral:lncRNA from 1 species
GAUGUCACCGGUCCUGAUGGUGCCAGUGUCCAGGGAACCCGUCGCGGCGGUGAUGGUGGCCGUGGAUAUGGCGGUGGACGUGGUGGUGGAGGAGGCGGUGGCUAUGGCGGUGGUGGAUAUGGUGGAGGCGGUGGUGGCUAUGGCGGUGGUGGACGAGGUGGAGGCGGUGGCGGUGGUGCAUGCUACAACUGUGGUGAAUCCGGUCACCUUGCUAGGGAUUGCUUCCAAGGAGGCGGUGGAGACAGGUAUGGCGGAGGAGGUGGCGGCGGUGGAAGGUAUGGCGGAGGAGGCGGUGGCGGUGGAAGGUAUGGCGGAGGAGGUGGAGGAGGCGGUGGCGGUGGAAGCUGCUACAACUGUGGAGAGUCAGGGCACUUUGCCAGAGAAUGCCCAACUAAUGCUCGUUGAAGUUUGUUUUAGGGUUUUAUGUUUAUGAUUUGCUUUUAAGGUUUUACUUGAAGAUGUUUAGGAUUUCAGUGGCGCAUGUGUUAUGAAUUUUCAUUAGUAGAAUAGGUGUGUGGGAUUUUGUUUCUCUUUUGGCAAUCAGAUGUUCAUGCGGUCUUAUUACAAAUCUGCAAGCAAGAUCAGAUCUGGCUGGAUUUAUAUUUUGUUAUGGACUUAAAUUUUGUUGUGUUGCAUGGUGAAUUAUUGCUGGUUUAAUAUGAUUCUUUGAGAGUCUUGUUAUGAAGAUUGAAUAUUAUAAUCAGGCGAUAUAUGUUUGCAUGAAUGUUUUCACAGGUUCUUUGUAGUCAUUUGUUUUGAUAGACAUUUAAUAUUUAUCGCAUUUCACAAGAAAUCAC